rnacentral:rRNA from 1 species
CCUGCUCAAUGAAACUUAAAUAGCCGCUUUCUAGUGCUAAGGUAGCAUAAUCACUUGUCUUUUAAUUUAAGAAUGGAAUGAAAGGAUAAACGAGUUAAAACCUUUAUUUAAUUUAUUUUAUUAAAUUUAUAUAAAAGUAAAAAAGCUUUUUAAAAAAGAUUAGACGACAAGACCCUUUAGAACUUUACUUCAAGUUCAGCUGGGGUGGCUUAAAAUUUUUAUUAAAACUUAUUACAAAACUACAAACACCCUUCCAUACAAGAUUUCAAUAAGUUACCUAAGGGAUAACAGUAUAAUAUUAUUUUAAAGCACAUAUAACAAAUAAUUAUUACAACCUCGAUGUUGAAUUACCCUUCUAUUAAAAGAAAAUUUUUUAAAAGUAAGUCUGUUCGACUUUUAAUAAGGUACAU